rnacentral:rRNA from 1 species
UUAAAUUGAAGAGUUUGAUCAUGGCUCAGAUUGAACGCUGGCGGCAGGGCUAACACAUGCAAGUCGAA